GAUGAACGCUGGCGGCGUGCUUAACACAUGCAAGUCGAACGAUGAACCGGGUGCUUGCACUCGGGGAUUAGUGGCGAACGGGUGAGUAACACGUGAGCAACCUGCCCCUGACUCUGGGAUAAGCGCUGGAAACGGCGUCUAAUACUGGAUAUGUCCCGUCACCGCAUGGUGUGCGGGUGGAAAGAUUUUUCGGUUGGGGAUGGGCUCGCGGCCUAUCAGCUUGUUGGUGAGGUAAUGGCUCACCAAGGCGUCGACGGGUAGCCGGCCUGAGAGGGUGACCGGCCACACUGGGACUGAGACACGGCCCAGACUCCUACGGGAGGCAGCAGUGGGGAAUAUUGCACAAUGGGCGGAAGCCUGAUGCAGCAACGCCGCGUGAGGGAUGACGGCCUUCGGGUUGUAAACCUCUUUUAGUGGGGAAGAAGCGAAAGUGACGGUACCUGCAGAAAAAGCACCGGCUAACUACGUGCCAGCAGCCGCCGUAA
rnacentral:rRNA from 1 species